AACGAACGCUGGCGGCAUGCCUAACACAUGCAAGUCGAACGAAGCCUUCGGGCUUAGUGGCGCACGGGUGCGUAACGCGUGGGAAUCUGCCCUUAGGUACGGAAUAACUCAGGGAAACUUGUGCUAAUACCGUAUGAUGUCGAGAGACCAAAGAUUUAUCGCCUAGGGAUGAGCCCGCGUAGGAUUAGCUAGUUGGUGGGGUAAAGGCCUACCAAGGCGACGAUCCUUAGCUGGUCUGAGAGGAUGAUCAGCCACACUGGGACUGAGACACGGCCCAGACUCCUACGGGAGGCAGCAGUGGGGAAUAUUGGACAAUGGGCGAAAGCCUGAUCCAGCAAUGCCGCGUGAGUGAAGAAGGCCUUCGGGUUGUAAAGGCUCUUUUUACCCCGGGGUAAGGAUAAAUGACUGUACCGGGAGAAUAAGACCCCGGCUAACUCCGUGCCAGCAGCCGC
rnacentral:rRNA from 1 species